UAAACAUCUUGUCCUGUCCCCAGAACAUUUUCACCAUCAGCAAAGAGUGGGAGAAAGGAUUUUAAAGCCCUGGUAGUGAGCUGCGGCAUUUAAAAAUAUUUAAAGAGGUUUCCAGUCGUGUCCAAGCUGGAGGAGAUAAUGCAUGUCCAUACGUUAAUUUGCACCUAUUGUCUCUUACCCAGAGCCCCGUAGGUGAAGAUGGGUAGAGGUAUUACAUACAUGCAAUUGGCAAGGCAGGGGCUGUAAACACCUCAUUAGUAACAGAUGCAUAUUUGUAUGUGUUGGCACUGCCAUUUACUUCGGAGCACAGAAAAAAAAUACAUCUCUUUGCCAUUUGGCUUGUGCAAUGUGCAGUGAACUGAGCAGAGAUUUUUGCUGUUUUCUCUCGUAAACAUAGUGCUUGUGGAGCCAGUUCCGAGUUGCCUCACCGGCAGACGCCCGUAGCAUCUUGCAGCAUUCUCCAGACUGCGAAGACAAGAAGUCAGGUGAAGCCCAGUGAGCUGUUCUCAUGUGCACGCUAACGUGGAUGAACUAGCAAGCUGCGUUAUGCUGUAGAAAUCGCAGGGUCUUCUCUAUGCAGGUGAAAAUGGGUGAGAAGGAGUACAACUGUUGGAUUUGUGGCAGGAAUUUUCAAACGAAUGAAAGCGUAAGGAUGAAAACAGAAGAAAAGUGUUCAGCACGGACACAGUUAAAUGUGAGUUUCACACUUCUGAAAAG
rnacentral:lncRNA from 1 species